rnacentral:rRNA from 1 species
GAUGAACGCUAGCGGCAGGCUUAAUACAUGCAAGUCGAGGGGCAGCACGUCUUCGGAUGGUGGCGACCGGCGCACGGGUGCGUAACACGUAUGCAACCUACCUUUAACUGGGGAAUAGCCCCGAGAAAUCGGGAUUAAUACCCCAUAAUAUUCAUUUUUCGCAUGAUUUAUGAAUUAAAACUCCGGUGGUUAAAGAUGGGCAUGCGCGACAUUAGUUAGUUGGUGAGGUAACGGCUCACCAAGACCGCGAUGUCUAGGGGUUCUGAGAGGAAUAUCCCCCA